rnacentral:lncRNA from 1 species
GCCUCCAUCUCUUUCGGCCCUCCGAGCUCCGGCGCCAAACUCAACCCCCUCUUUCCGAUUUAGACCCGGCGAUGGCGCAGGUAAGUCCUCGUCCUUCCCUUUUUAUUAUUUAUUUCUUAUGUAGAAGAUAAAAUAAAAAUAAAAAUAAAAUGAAACAAGCAGAAACGUGAAUAAAAAAAAUCACCUUCAAAAGUCUGUUUUGUUUUUUUUAUUUCAAUAAUCGUAAAAGCAAAGGAAGAAGAAGUUCUUCCUUACAGUAGAUUCAGUUUUAACCGAAAGAAAAGAAAAAUAAAAGAGAAAAAAAAAUUUCCCCCUAUUACAGUGAUUUCGCCCCCUCUACAUUUUACAAUAUACUAGGCUUUAUAGCCGGAAGAAAAAAUGAAAAAUCGGGGGAAAAUCUCCUCUUUUGCUACUGUUUUCCUAGUCUGCUUCCAUUUCUCACUUUUGUUGCUUGUUUGCAGGUACACGGCAAGGUCAACUUGUCAUUUCGGUGAAAGGAGGGCUGGCGGUGGCAGACAUCGGGCGUGGUGCGCGCUGAAGGCGCACAUGGGGUAGCAACGGCGCGAGGGGCGCCAGAAACCCUAGGAUUUCUGGCCAUUCCAAAAUUUUUUAAGGUUUUGGGUCACCGGGCUUUGUUUCUGUAAUUGGGCUUAAUUUAGUUUGUUGGGCUGGAGCAAAUUUGGGCUUUGUACAGCUGCCCCUCUUUGCUCGUUGUCGUGUAACGAGAAUAGAGCAAAGACCAAGAAAGACCAAAUUUGCCCUGUCUUGUCGAGUCUUGACUUCUUUGAUGCUCCUCUUUUUUCUAGUAGCUUCAUUCCAAUCCACUGUGUCUUGUUGCUUCAACCCACUUCUCUGCAUUUCAAAAGGAUCUGACUUGUAGCUUUAAUUUUCUUCGCCGCAACUUCAGGGGGACGAUGUUUGUGGUUUUAGUCUACUCCGCUGCAACGUCAGAGAGAUAGGACUUGAUGCGAUCUGCUCCACUACUGCUUAGGGAGAUAAGAUCUAUGGUUUUAAUCUGCUCCACUGUAACUUUAGGGAGAUAGGAUUUAUUUCUUUCGUCUGCUCCGCUGUAACCUCAAAGAGAUAAGACCUGAUGCGAUCUACUCUACUGUAACUUCAGAGAGAUAAGAUCUGUGAUUUUAAUCCGCUUCACUGUAACUUCAGGGAGAUAGGAUUGAUUUCUUUCGUCUGCUCCACUGCAACUUCAGAGAGAUAAGACUGGAUGUGAUCUGCUCUACUGCAACUUCAGAGAGAUAAGAUUUGUGGUUUUAAUCCACUCCACAUGUAACUUUAGGGAGACAGGAUUAUCGGCUUCAAUCUAAUGUGAUCUAUUCUACUGUAACUUCAAAGAGAUAAUAUCCUUUAUUUUAAUCCACUCCACUGUAACUUUAGAGAGUUAGGAUUACUAGCUUCAAUCUAUUCCGUUAUAAUCUCAGGGAAAUAAGAUCUCUAGCUUCAAUCUGCUCCACUGUAACCUCAGGGAGAUAAGAUCUAAAAUUCUUCGGUCUACUCCACUGUAACCUCAGGGAGAUAAGACCUGAUGCGAUCUACUCUGCUGUAACUUUAGAGAGAUAAGAUCCUUUAUUUUAAUCUGCUCCACUGUAAUCUCAGGGAGAUAGGAUUGUGUCUUGGAUCUGCUCCAUUGUAAUCUCAAGGAGAUAAGAUCUCUUGCUUCAAUCUGCUCCACUGUAACAUCAGGGAGAUAAGAUCUGAAAUUCUUCGGUCUACUCCACUGUAACCUCAGGGAGAUAAGACCUGAUACGAUCUACUCUGCUGUAACUUCAGAGAGAUAAGAUCCUUUAUUUUAAUCCACCCCACAGUAAUCUCAGGGAGAUAAGACUACCAGCUUCAAUCUGCUCCGCUGUAAUCUCAGAGAGAUAAGAUCUGAAAUUUUUCGGUCUAUUCCCUGGGGAACACGACCUGUAUAAUGAACCUAAUUAUGCCUAAUGAUUAGGUUGGCAUGAUCAAAAUGAAUCAAAUGCUCCUAACUAGAAAUGUGUGAAUGGUGUUUGCAUGAAUGCAGAAUUUUAUUUUUCGUGAAUGAUCUCGCUUAAGUUAUCAUUACUCGAAGUUUAUUAAGGCUUUGUCAUCGAAGUGCUAUAACACAUUCCUUCUCGACUGGCAUUAUCUGAAAAAACAUUUAGCUAGAUUGCCCCCACUGUAAACCUCAAAGUUAUAUCCACUGGGACGCCAAAAUUUGUACCAUCAUUCACCUGCUGUAAUACAAUGGUAUAAAUAUGUGGCUUUUCCUCCGUCCGCUUUUAUCACAAUUCGGAGAUAUAGGAUCUGAACCGUUCUGGUUUCCUACACCAUUCUCAGGGUGUCGUACCAAAGUCUUAUGCUCAAAUGAAGGCUCUCUUCUCCGAGAUAACCUCUUCCUAUUGCCUGAUGAUCAUUGCUUGCUUGUUCAUUUAAGCUUUGCCAUUGACACGACAUCUUGUCAUUUUGUUCAAUCAAUGCACUUAACAACAUAAAUCCAAAGAGAAAGUAUAAAUUCAAACACUUCCUUUUCAGAUUUCCAACAUUUAAAAUUGAUGUGUUCUAAACAAUAGUCCUGUUUCAGGCUCUUAUAUUAUUUAGAAACUUUUUAGAGUAAUAUGCAAAACUUCCUUCGUGAAAGUUUUAUUAGUCCAUUAAUCAUUAUUCCAAUGCAACAUGCUUGCAAAAAGGGUCAUAACAAUGGAUAAGAAUAAAGUUGGUUCUGAGCAUAGCUCGAAAGAACAAGUUAUCCAAAAAUAGUAAAGAAGGAUGACAAAGAAAUUGAUUGGAAAUGUAUAUCUUGGAAAAUGUAUUCCAAGAACAACAAAUAAUAUGAGAAUUAGGUGCCUUAGAUAUCGCAGCUUGAACUUCUAUGUACAAACUUUCUGAAAACCAUUUUGAGUUUGACAUGUGUUUAGGAGAUCUACAGUGCUUUGUCGAUGCCCCAAGAUGUUGCUUAUCCUUUCCUGUUGAUUCAGGCAUAGCAAGAUCACCACAUGCCCCAAUAUGAUCAAAAUUCGAAUCGUUCUGAUCACUUUAUGCCCCCAUUAAUAUUUGAGCCGCCAUUUUCGGGUUUUCAACUCAAAUCCCCUUUGGCCUAAGGCGCCCUUUCCGGGUUUUCCCCUUAGCCUCUCCAUUUUUCUUUUUCAUUUUUCAUUUUUCAUUCUCAUUUUUUUACUCGGAGUGCCCUUUGCGGGUUUUCACCUUGGUCCUUUCUCCUUAUUUAAACGAAGUAUUUCUUGACUGGAUCUGAGUUUAUAGGACUAGCAAUCUCACUCAGGAUUAGUGCUCUUCUGAAGAAUGUCUUCUUUACAACGUAGGGACAUUCCUGGUUUGGCAUUCAUUUCCCCUUUGAAUCUUUUUGGAGAGAAAUGGUUUUUUUCGACAUCCAACCCUCUCGUGGAAUUCUCUGAGAUGACACUAUUCAUUAUGGGCUCGUAUCAUUUGUUUCUGGUACAUCCGACCCUGAAGAAUUGAUUUUAACCUUUUUCCUAGGUUCAACUGAUCGCAUCGCGAAUGGAUCCAUUAUGCUUCAUCCAAUUCUAGCUCAACUAAUACCCAGAGAGAAAGGAUUUCAAUAGGUAAAACUACCUAAACCCCGCAAACCAAAGAGAAUGGUAUUACCCCGGUACAGAUGUUCGACAAACAAUGAGGGCAAAUGGUAAUUUCUAAUGCCAGUCCUUGUUCACCUCUAGGUAACUCGGUGACAAAACGUGGUGUCUGCUUCUGAAUUGAUUUCAGACCUCAGUUAUUGUGCUAUCAUUUAAGUUCAAUGCAUUUUUCAAUACCAUCCUCUCUGAAAUUCUGUAUCGGUAUAGGAUGACCUUGAUCCAUGAAGUAGCCUCUAAAAAAUAAAGCAAUGACCAUUAGAAGUCUUCGAUAAUAAUGAUGUCCAUGCCCCAUUUUGCUCAAAAAUUGAGUCACCCUUUUCGGGUUUUCAACUCAAAACCUCAUUUGGUCACAAAGUGCCCUUUGCGGGUUUUCGCUUUGGCCUCUCCUUUUCUUUUUCUUUUCUAUUUCAUUCUGAUUUUUUCAUCUAGAUUUCUCUUUUUUCAUUCUUCUUUCUUUUUCUCAUUUUUAUUUUGAUCUUGAUUUUGAUUUUUUCUUCUUUCUUCUUUUUGUUUUAUUAUUUUUUAUUUUUGAUUUUCUUCAUUUUCAUUUUGACUUUGAUUUUGAUUUUGAUUUUUCUUUUUCUUCCCUUUUUUUGAUCUGAGCCUUUUCGGGUGUAACUACGACAGAAAACUUUGGAUCUUCCUCUUUAAUCAGGAUGGACCCAACAACAACUUGAAGAGGUAAAAAUUCGACUUCAAAUGGGCAAAGCUAUGCUGACUCCACGAGAAAGGUAUUGCCCCGACAAAGAAUUACAUCGUUCAUACUGUAAAUUUCUAACAUCGUGCUGUUGUGCAGAUUUCAUUAUUGGCGUUUACCCCGGGGCAUAUCCUGGUAUGAUCAUACGAAGACAUCUUUGAACCCUAGAGGUCACUCAAUAAGGUGUUGCUUCGUCUCUGCGGUCAGGUCAAUUCUAAUCUUUACCACGCUCACAAUUUCUAAUGAUUCUUUGUGAGGUAGGAUCUAUCUAUCCUCUUAUUCAACCAUCCUUAACAAGUCAGGAGAUAAACUACAAUCUUUGUCAUUUUCAAAGCCCUAAGAUCCCUCUGAACACAUGCCUCGCUCAAAAGAAAAAUCUGGGUCUGUAGCAGAGUCAUUCACGUCAUUCAUAUCCAAGGACUCAUAAUAAGUACCAAAGAAUAUACAAAAGAAAGUAUAAAUUUAUGAAUAAUUAUUUAUACAAUAUGAUUAUGAAUGAAUGAUGUGGAAGAAAAUCUAAAAGAAUGAAAUAAUCAGAAAUAAUUAUUCAAAAAGAAUGAAAGAAUAUUGGCUCAAAAAGGAAUGCAAAGAUGUAUUUUAUUAGAAUAAUGACGUUCAGACAUUAGCCUAUUUCACAAAGGAAUUUCUAUCGUUUUAGGCUAAAAACAACAAAAAUGUUCUGAGCAUUACUCUAAAUAAGCCUUGACACAGUUUAAUUAUUUAGAACACUCUAAAUUUAUAAGGGCAUGUAUCUAACAAGGUCCCUUUUCCUUUGUGUUUUCAUGUAUGCCAUUGGUGUGAACACUUGCCAACAUUGCUUCAUACAUCUCAUUCAUCCCGUUGUCAACAUGAUUGGGUAUAUGGUUUUUUGCACUAGAUGAAUCACCCAACUUGACAAUACCCAUGUUGAUGAAUUUUUCGACUAGCUUCUUGAAGGCAAUGCAAUUCUCUAUUGAAUGCCCCGUAACUCCCGCAUGGUAGUCACAUUGUACGUUCAUGUCAUACCAUUUGGGAUACGAGGGUUGUAUGGGUUUUAAGUAAUGAGGAGCAACAACAUGCGCAUCGAACAAGCUUUGAUACAGCUCCUUAUAUGACAUCGAAAUUGGUGUGAACUGGAGCUUCUCAGUACCUGGUUUCACUCCAGAUUCUUACUUUAAAGGACUUUGAUGUCUGCUGGUUUCUGUCUUUGGCCGGCCCAUAAUGAUUGGUUUUGAGUGGCCCUUGUUAUAUCUGCCUGCAUUAUCCCCUUUAUUCCCCUUCUUCCCUAGGGCCUUUGUAGUAUCUGGGUAUUCUAUCCUCAUCUUCUUUAUUUUGGCUAGAUUAGCAAUAGGAUUAGCUAAAUCAUUCAUCAAAUUGGAUCCUAAGCCUGUCAGGCAAUUCACUGGUGUCGAUGUACCAGUCUGAUAAUAUUGGGAUCCGAUAGUAAAAAGUGUUUCUUGUGGACGCCCAUCUGGCUGAAUCUGGACACUUGUCAAAGUACAAUCUAAGGAAUAGAAAAGAUCCUCAUUAUCAACCCCAAAGUAAACCACCGGGUCUUUGAAUUUCCAGCUAGCAAUCGGUUGAACUGGUUUAUCAUAGUUCUCCGUAAUUCUAACAUCUGAUCUCUCAUCUCCUGUUGAAAUUCAGUCAAUUGUUCCUGCAUCUGAAUCUGCAUUCGCUCUAAUUUUUCCAACCUUUGUUCCAUUUCUCUAGUCUUUGCUUGGAUGUUGUAAGGGUGUUUGGUUGGUUGAUUUUCUAGGUUAGCUGAAAUAAAUUUACUCGUUUAGACUCUUUCAAUGGAUUUUAAUGCAUGUAAUGCAAUGUAAUGCAAAUACAUAAAAUGAAUGCCUAAAGAGACGUUGAUUCUGAUUCAAUUACAUUUAGGAAACUUUUCUAGAAAGCAAAUUCCCUUAUAUAAAAUGGAUACAUGUACGGCCUCACCCUCAUAUUCCAAGAAACAACAUCGGUCUUUUUCUUCAUCCGCAUGUUUGAGGUAAUCUCGUUAAUAGAUGUCAUUGCUAGCUCAUUCUCUUGAUCUUGGUUGCAAUCCAUCACCUGCCCGUCCUCCUAAGGCUCGUCCGCCUCUUUGAGGGGGUGGAAUGUUGAAGGCUCUUAGACAAUUGCCUUGAAUCCUCAAGCCAUGAAGUAGGAUCACGAACUCUUCCAUCGCCAUUCUUGUGUUUCUCAGAAUAUAUUCGGGAAGUCAUAUUGUUUUCCACUUUAUCAAAAAAUUCGUAUUCCAUGACAAGCUUUCUAAUUUAGUAAUCGAACUUGAAUCAAUAUCUCUUUCCUAAGAUGCAAAUACAAUGUAAUGCAAUCAUAAUCAAAACACAACAAGAAGGGUUAGAACAAAACAUAUUAGAACAAAACAUAAGCAAGCACGGAAAACAAAAAGUACCUAAUCAGGUAAAUACUAGGGAUUUGGAGUGGCUCUACCUAGGUUAAGUUCCUAAGUCCACUAUAUGAGGGUUGGUUCUAAAGAUAAGGUACCCGAACCAGCAGAUUCCUCGAUCUUCACCCAUUAUAGGCUCAUACAGACCGAGUUCGAUUCAGGGGAAUACAUUUCCCUAUGGCUGCACGGAGAUGAAAAUCUCACGAAGACAUAGGUACGGAUGUAUCCCGAAAGCGAUCUACUAUCCUGCACGGAGGUGAAAACCUCACGAAGGAGUAGCUUCUCACUCCCACUUAAAAGGUGUGACCAACGGUCAUGCAAUGCAAUGUGCAGAAAGAUAUAAAAAUUUAAAAUACAAAACAUAAUGAAAACUAUAACUCAAAACAAAUGGAAUGCAAUGAGAGGAUCGUAUAUUUAAAUCAAAUUUUCAACUUUCGACAAAAAGACAAGAAAUAAUCAACUCGUGGCUCGACUCACUUAUUUUGAAAAAGUCCCCAGUGGAGUCGCCAAGCUGUUGACACCAUUUUUUUGAUAAAAACGGGGUCGACUUGGGUUUUGAAAAAUGAAACGGGAGUCGCCACCAAUCCUUUUUUGAGGUGUGAUUGGAUCACCUUGAAAAGUGGUUGUUUUUAAUAAACGAUUUAAUUUUAUUAAAACAACGAUUUUGGUCUACGAAAUUCUGAAAAACGGGUUCGGGAGUCGGUUACGCACGAGGAAGGAUUAGCACCCUCGAUACGCCCAAAAAUUGGUACCUAGUUGAUUAUUUAAUGUCUUAAUGUCGAAAAGCUGAAAACUUUAAAGAAAUUUAAAAUACAAUCCUUAAAAAAACUCGAAUGGCAUGGAUUAAAAUUCAAGAGAAUAUUUUGGCAAUUUGUUUAAACGAGAAAUCGAAACCCAGCACAUUAGGGCACGUUCCUCGAAUUUCCAAACGCAAAACAUUGCCUUAUUUUAAAAAUUUUUAAAAGGAUAUUUAGCUAUUUGGUUGAACGAGAAAAAUCGAAACCCAGCACAUUAGGGCACGUUUUCUCGAAUUUCCCAAACGCUAAAUAUUGCCUUAUUUAGAAAAACCUUCCUUUUGAUGUUUGGUGUUAAUAUGACAAUAACGAAUAUAACAAGUUAAGGAUAAAUGGUACAAACAAUCAUAAAAAAUGGAAUAAAUAAAUAUAAGAGAUGAAUCGAUCACUUGAUAACAAGUAAAUAAACAAAUAGAAUUAAAAUGUUCUUUUAAAAUAAUAAUGAACGUAUACGCAAACAAAUAAAUGAACAUCAAGUAACACGAAAAAUGAGAUGUGUGUUUCUAUAUACGUAUUUUAAAAUAAUAAAGUAUUUUAAAAUAUGUACAUUGUAAGAUAUAGGUAUAUAUACGUAUUAUAAAAUGUAUAGAUGUACGUAGUUUGAGAUUAUAAAAUAUAUGAGGAACAUAUGCAUAUAAAUAUAGAUAAAAGGUACGUAUAUUUAUAUUCAUGAAAAUAAAAUGUAUAUAGGUAUAUAUGGAGAUGUAUACAAAUUAUAAAAAUAUGAAAAUAAGUAUAUGUUUAUAUAAAAUAUUUACAUACAGAUAUAUUUUACAAAAUGUAUGCAUAUAUGUAAAAAUUUAAGAUGUAUAUAUAAAUUAUAUGAGAAUGUAAAAAUAUAAACGUGUAUUUAUUUAUAAAAAGAAAAAAUGUACACAUGUGUAAAGUAUAAAGUAUAGAUGAUACAUAUUGAAGUAGGUAUAUUUAUACAUAUAUAUAAAUUUGAAAAAUUAUGUGUGUGUAUAUGUAUAUAAAAAUAUGAAAUGUCUAAAAUAUAAGAGUAUGUGUAUACAUGUAUAUUUAUAAUAAAGAUAAGAUAUAUAAGUAUAUAUAUAUGAAUAAAAAUUAUAGGCGUAUAUAUAUAUUAUAAAAAUGUAUGAUGGAUAUAGACAUAUAUAUGUAUGUGUAACAAACGUAUGUAUGUACAUAGCAAUAAUAAUAAUAAUAAUAAUAAUAAAAUAACGGGACUAAAUUGAAAACAAAACAAAAUCCCAGGGGAGAAACCAAAAAUAAAAUAAGGCCAAAGAUCAAUCCGUGACGCGCGCAGAGGGAGGGGGACCGAUUGGUCAAUUAUCCCUAGCCAUAUGCGUGUCGUUCCACGUGGGACUAAAAUGAAACAACUAUAAAAUUAUAUGGCUAAUUUAAAAUAAAAGAAAAGAAUGAAAAGGGGGCUAAUUGUAACACACUGCAAAAGCGGAGGGACCGCGCGCGUAAAUAACCCAUUUCAUGCAAACACGCGGAUCCCCCUGGAGCGGGUCGGGUCGCGCGCGGGUCAUGGAGGCUAAACGGCGCCGUUUAAUGUUUUUAUUCAAAACCCCUAAAAAAAACCUAGUUUAUUGCAGCAGAAAAAAAUAACAUAAAAAAAAGGCAGAGCCUCCAUCUCUUUCGGCCCUCCGAGCUCCGGCGCCAAACUCAACCCCCUCUUUCCGAUUUAGACCCGGCGAUGGCGCAGGUAAGUCCUCGUCCUUCCCUUUUUAUUAUUUAUUUCUUAUGUAGAAGAUAAAAUAAAAAUAAAAAUAAAAUGAAACAAACAGAAACGUGAAUAAAAAAAAUCACCUUCAAAAGUCUGUUUUGUUUUUUUUAUUUCAAUAAUCGUAAAAGCAAAGGAAUAAGAAGUUCUUCCUUACAGUAGAUUCGGUUUUAAUCGAAAGAAAAGAAAAAUAAAAGUGAAAAAAAAAUUUCCCCCUAUUACAGUGAUUUCGCCCCCUCUACAUUUUACAAUAUACUAGGCUUUAUAGCCGAAAGAAAAAAUGAAAAAUCGAGGGAAAAUCUCCUCUUUUGCUACUGUUUUCCUAGUCUGCUUCCAUUUCUCUCUUUUGUUGCUUGUUUGCAGGUACACGGCAAGGUCAACUUGCCAUUUCGGUGAAAGGAGGGCUGGCGGUGGUAGACAUCGGGCGUGGUGCGCGCUGAAGGCGCACAUGGGGUAGCAACGGCGCGAGGAGCGCCAGAAACCCUAGGGUUUCUGGCCAUUCCAAAAUUUUUUAAGGUUUUGGGCCACCGGGCUUUGUUUUUGUAAUUGGGCUUAAUUUAGUUUGUUGGGCUGGAGCAAAUUUGGGCUUUGUACAG